AUUGAACGCUGGCGGCAUGCCUAACACAUGCAAGUCGAACGUGAAAGGGGGCAACCCUGAGUAAAGUGGCGGACGGGUGAGUAAUACGUAGGAAUAUGCCUUAAAGUGGGGGACAACUUGGGGAAACUCAAGCUAAUACCGCAUAAUCUCUUAGGAGAAAAGCUGGGGACCUUCGGGCCUGGUGCUUUAAGAUUAGCCUGCGUCCGAUUAGCUAGUUGGUAGGGUAAAGGCCUACCAAGGCGACGAUCGGUAGCUGGUCUGAGAGGAUGGCCAGCCACACUGGAACUGAGACACGGUCCAGACUCCUACGGGAGGCUG
rnacentral:rRNA from 1 species